GGGAGGAGAGAAUGGCUGUUCUUGAAUCCAACAACUUCUCAAGUGUGGAAAAACAAGAAGAGAAGAAGAGUGAACAAUACAAAUAUAGACUGUGCUCACCUUAUAACGAGGUGGUCACAUCCUUGGUGUGGAUCAUGAUGCUAUUGUGUCUGCUUGUAAGAUCCACUGUGGGACAGUACAUAGGAACUUCUGGUCCAACCAGAUCUUGCUGCUGGGGCUGAGUUCUGUCCGGUCUUGAGCGAGAGGGAACGU